rnacentral:lncRNA from 1 species
CACUAAAACAAGUUAAAGAAUCAUAUGGUAUGGAUCAUUAAUUGUAGCAGUCUAGAUUAUACUUUUCAUGCUAUAUGAAUUGUUUUUCAUAAGAUUUCAUCUGAAUGAUUAAUUAGUUUCUCAGGAGUUAAAUCUGUGAGUGUGAUGGAGGAGGAGAUGAGGAUGGUGAAGGAGAAGGAAGAGGUCCAACAGGUUCUUACCUUUGUCCCACAGUGGCAAGGCCAGGU